rnacentral:rRNA from 1 species
UACGGAGGGGGCUAGCGUUGUUCGGAAUUACUGGGCGUAAAGCGCACGUAGGCGGCUUUGCAAGUUAGAGGUGAAAGCCCGGGGCUCAACUUCGGAAUUGCCUUUAAAACUGCAUCGCUAGAAUUGUGGAGAGGUAAGUGGAAUUCCGAGUGUAGAGGUGAAAUUCGUAGAUAUUCGGAAGAACACCAGUGGCGAAGGCGACUUACUGGACACAUAUUGACGCUGAGGUGCGAAAGCGUGGGGAGCAAACAGG